GUAGGAUAGGUGGGAGGCUUUGAAGCGUGGACGCCAGUCUGCGUGGAGCCGACCUUGAAAUACCACCCUUUAAUGUUUGAUGUUCUAACGUGGACCCGUAAUCCGGGUUGCGGACAGUGUCUGGUGGGUAGUUUGACUGGGGCGGUCUCCUCCUAAAGAGUAACGGAGGAGCACGAAGGUUGGCUAAUCCUGGUCGGACAU
rnacentral:rRNA from 1 species